CACUACUUGGUAGUCUUGCGAAAUCUUCCAUCUAAGAAACGCAGCGGCUGCACGUGUGGUUCACGGAGAGUUAGCUCAGAGCAGCCAAUCAAGGGCUGAGGCAGGAGAGCACCAGCUCCAGAGCUGCCAGGCUCUUCCCACAGAUCAAAGCUCUCCUGGCACAUUCCCUUUAGUUAAAUUGCUAUCUGUUGAAUUCAAAUUCAAAAAUGCUGCUUCUCAGAGGAAGUUUCCAUUGCCAGUAUUUUCUCCUGUGGAUUUCUGCAUGCGUCACAUGGUUUGAGGCAUUCUAAAACUCACAGCUUUUAUCUGUAUUAGACGUUCGGAAACACAGAUGUUAAAUGGGUAACUACAGAACUCUAGGUGUAAUAGACUGAACUAACUGGAGAAGAUUAGUUCAGCUAAGCCUAAAUGCUAUGGGGUUUAACACACUAAAGCUCAAUUUCUUGGGAAACCAAGCUGAACAUGGAUGACACAUGGAUUCAUUCCAGGCUGGGUGUAUUUGCUGUAAGUGUUCUUUCUCUACUUUUACAACAUAAAUGGAUGAUGAAAUAAUGAUCAACUAAGGAAACACAAAGC
rnacentral:lncRNA from 1 species